rnacentral:rRNA from 1 species
ACGCUCGACACCUACGUGAGGCAGCAGUGGGGAAUAUUGCACAAUGGGGGAAACCCUGAUGCAGCGACGCCGCGUGAAGGAAGAAGUAUUUCGGUAUGUAAAGCUCUAUCAGCAGGGAAGAAAAUGACGGUACCUGAGUAAGAAGCCCCGGCUAACUACGUGCCAGCAGCCGCGGUAAUCUGAGCGGGCUGGCAAGGC